rnacentral:rRNA from 1 species
GAUGAACGCUGGCGGCGUGCCUAAUACAUGCCAGUCGAGCGAACGGACGAGAAGCUUGCUUCUCUGAUGUUAGCGGCGGACGGGUGAGUAACACGUGGAUAACCUACCUAUAAGACUGGGAUAACUUCGGGAAACCGGAGCUAAUACCGGAUAAUAUUUUGAACCGCAUGGUUCAAAAGUUAAAGACGGUCUUGCUGUCACUUAUAGAUGGAUCCGCGCUGCAUUAGCUAGUUGGUAAGGUAACGGCUUACCAAGGCAACGAUGCAUAGCCGACCUGAGAGGGUGAUCGGCCACACUGGAACUGAGACACGGUCCAGACUCCUACGGGAGGCAGCAGUAGGGAAUCUUCCGCAAUGGGCGAAAGCCUGACGGAGCAACGCCGCGUGAGUGAUGAAGGUCUUCGGAUCGUAAAACUCUGUUAUUAGGGAAGAACAUAUGUGUAAGUAACUGUGCACAUCUUGACGGUACCUAAUCAGAAAGCCACGGCUAACUACGU